GAUGAUGAGGUGGACAUGGAGGAGGAUGGAUCUGGUGGCCUGAGACAGGGAUGGCUCGUUUCCCGCGUGUUAUGUUUUCGGGUGGAAAAGAACUCCUCGACAGCAGCAAGAUCCUCGGGCUUGCUGAAGCCUCGAACACCUCGAGUAUUCAUGGAGGGUACUUAAGUAAUAUGGAAUGUUGCCCUCAGGAGGAACAAUCUUGGGGAGAGCAGUUCAGUUGGUGUUCAUCCACCUCCAGUAACCUUGGAUACCCUUAGGUAUACCUCCUUCGGGCAUAUAGGUGUCCUGGGCUCGAACAAUGCCGUCCAGCAGGAGUCCAAGAGUCUUUUCUCUGAUGGCAGCAGCCUCUGAGAAACCAAGGGCUCGGAGACAGGGGUUGACCUCGUCCUUGUUAUAGAUGGUCUGAGACAACUUGCGAAGAGCUUUGCUGUCGAUCUCGGUUCCGUACUCGACACCCUCGGCAAAGACGUUACCUCGCAGGUUGGGGUGGAUUCCUUGUUGCCAUCGGUGAAAGAGACUGGCGUGCUUAACAACCCCGAAGAAAAGAGUCGUCUGAGCCUGAGUCGUGGAAGAGUCAGCGUCAGUGAUUCCACCCAAGCUCCUAGGCCAUGGGGAAACUAGAUGGCAGCUACGAGGUCCACACCAUGUUCAUGUUCCAGGUAGAAAUAAGACCCUGCUUUCCAUUUUCGGCAAGCUUGGUCAUCCUCCCCGAGUGUCCAGUGCUCAGUUAGUCCGAAAGCGAAAUGAUGUAGAACCAGAGGUGAGUAUAGUUACUUGUUCGGCUGUCUCCAUACAUAUGUUGAUGGCAAUGUGGGUAGAUGUGUACAAGUUAUGAGGAUCCCAACUGAUAUUGAAGUUGAUAAACACAUUCAAUGUAUUUAUUUGCUGUUUA
rnacentral:misc_RNA from 1 species